rnacentral:lncRNA from 1 species
UCUUUUUCUUUUUUUCUCAUACAAAGAAUAAUAUCUCCAAAUUUUUAUUUUCAUAGUGAACAUUAUUUUUCAAAACCCACUUAUUUUAUUUCUGUGGAACUUGAACCCAAGUCCAUUAGCUUAAUAUUAUAAGUGGAGUCGAGCCACUAGGCAAAAUAAUUUUUUAAAAUAUUACAAUCUCAACUCAAAAAAUAAAAUAAAAAAGAC